CUGGGAUUACAGGUAUGAGCCACAACACCCAGCCUUUAACGUGCCUUUCUGACUCAUCUCCUUCUCUCCGUCUUGCCUAUCCCACCACCCACUGCACCGUGGUCUCGGGCUCACUGUGCCACCAACAAGUCUUCCUCUUGGCGCCAGCUUCUUCUGCUCCUCUGAGCUUCUCCUGCUCCUCUCUGCCUCAUCUCCCAAAGCCCCUUCCUCUUUGGCCUCUUCCAGGUCAUUCUCUCUGACUCUCAUCUGCACUGUCCUCUCCCUUUCUGGGGUCAUCAGCCACACCAAGGUCUUGGUCAGUUAACUCAGCGUGACCUUGUCUGCCUCUCCAAUUAUAUCAUAAACAACCUGUGGACCGCACCUUGGGGGGCCUUCCUAAGUGCUCCCCAUGUCUUUCCGCAUGGCUCCUGAAGGGGUCCAGGGUCUCGUGUUGUCAUGUGCCUGUGCUUCUGCCCACUCCUCGGGUGCUCACAAGGGUAGGGCUGCCUGGGUGACAGUACGGCCUCCUGCAGCUGCGGGAGAGGGAGUCCAGAGGUGGCAGGAGAGGGAGUCCAGAGGUGGCGGGAGAGGGAGUCCAGAGGUGGCAGGAGAGGGAGGCAGCCAUGGAGGGUGACACCCACUGAUGCAUUUCUCAGUCCAGUGAAUGCAGUCACUUUGGAUUUGUGAGAAUUGGGACCAGUGUUACUGCCACUAUCUACAGAGGCCUCACAAGGUUGUCUGUGCUAGCAAGUGAGUGAUUAGCAAAGACGCACUCCUGUGACACAUUAUGUUGAAAGUGCCAUCAUCAGAACCACACCACAGGGCAGUGGUUCUCCGGCAACGGCAGCCUCGGGAAACUUGAGAGAAACACAGAUUCUCCAGCCCCACCCCAGACCAAAGAAAUCAGAAGCUCUGGGGGUGGGGCCAGGAACCUGUGUUUUAACCAUCUCCCCAGCUGAUUCUGAUUCAGGCUAAAGCUGGGUGUCAGGCGAAGGGUGGGCAAGGUCUGGAGGCCCAAGCAUUUGAGGAACCUGCCCUGAUGGUGUAAAUAGUGUGCUGUGGGAGGUGCACCCGCCCUGAUGGUGUAAAUGGUGUGCUGUGGGAGGUGCACCCGCCCUGAUGGUGUAAAUGGUGUGCUGUGGGAGGUGCACCCGCCCUGAUGGUGUAAAUGGUGUGCUGUGGGAGGUGCACCCGCCCUGAUGGUGUAAAUGGUGUGCUGUGGGAGGUGCACCCGCCCUGAUGGUGUAAAUGGUGUGCUGUGGGAGGUGCACCCGCCCUGAUGGUGUAAAUGGUGUGCUGUGGGAGGUGCACCUGCCCUGAUGGUGUAAAUAGUGUGCUGUGGGAGGUGCAUUUGGGGUGUUAUUCUGCUAACUGACUAACAUCAAAUCCAGUGGGCCAGCAAUCCAGCUUGGGGGCUUUCAGGAGCAGGGUGCUGCGUGAACCCUCAUUUAACCCUCCCUACAAUGUGGUGCCACGGGAGUGCAUGCACCUGUUUCAGAGAUGAAGACAAAAGGCCCUCAUGGAGUCAUUUGUCCCAAGCCAUCCUGGUUGUCUGUGGUGUGCCCAUGGGUGGAGGGGCCCCGGCGGGAGAUUAAGGCUGUGUAUUAGGGUUCUUGAGAGAGACAGAACCAAUAGUAUCUGUCUGUCUACACCUAUCUAGAUAGCUAGAUGAGAAGGGAUUUGUUGGGAGAAUUGGCUCACACAUUUGUGGAGGCUGAGAAGUCCCACCACUGGCUGUCUCCAAGCUGCAGACCCUGGGAUGCUGGUGGUGAGGCUCAGUCCAAGUCCGAAGGCCUGAGAACCCAGGGGCCACGGGUGUAAGUCCUGAAGUCCAAAGGCUGGAGCGCCUGGAGUUCUGAUGUCCAAGGACAAGAGAAGAAGAGCACCCCAGCUCCAAGAGGGAGAGACACCAACUCGCCUUUCCUCUGUUUUUGCUCUCUCUGGGCCCCCAGUUGAUUGGAUGGUAUCACUCACAUUAAGAGCAGAUCUUCCCCACUUACUCCACUCAGACUCACGUGCCAGUGUCCUCUGGAGACACUCUCACAGACACACCCCAAAAUAAUGCCUCAUCAGGUUUGUCAUGAAGCAGUGUUAGCUGCAGAGACAAUGUUUCUGACAUAGAGCAGUGCUGAAUAGACUGUUAAUAACUAGUGGGAAAUGGACGAGGUUUGGGAAGUGACUGCUCCAGGUCCAGGAAGGACGCUCCUAGCUGAGCAAAGGGCAUUGGGCAGAACUCACAGGCCUUCACCGGGGCCCAGAGCAUGGGGCUCCGGAGAGCAGGCUGCCUGCUGGGAAAAAAUCAACAACUUAUCUGAAGGGAAAAAAGGCAGAUUGUCGGCACAGCAGAACAGGUAAAAACAUUUAAUUGCGCACACAUUGCCGUGUCACUGGUCAACAUGUCCUUGUUCUGAAAAAGGAAGGAAACAGGCUGAGGCUAACUGAACCUGCCAGGAGGCUGUUCAUCUGCCUUAUCCUCUCCUCUCGGGACAGCUGGGGCUGGUUCUGGGAUAGGACCCACCCCGGGGACCCCUGAAGGAUAUUUGAAGAAAGUUCUGGAAGUGGGGGUGCAGGACACCCAGAGAAAUAUGAGAAGUCAUCAAAAACCCAAGGGCUGUGAGCCCCUGCCCUGCCCUUCUUCCCGCUAAGAGGCUGGGGAGAUGCCACAGUUUGUAGCAAGUGGGCCACGAAUGCUCCUUUUCUGAUGAAUGGAAUCAAAUUCACGUCUUGCUUUUCCAGGUGUUCUGUGCAGCAGGAGAAGGAACUGUCAGGAAGAAGAUAAAGUCUAGGUGAGUCCGAAGGCUGAGGCCCAGAAGGAGGUGUGAUAACUUUU
rnacentral:lncRNA from 10 species